rnacentral:rRNA from 1 species
UACGAAGGUGGCAAGCGUUGUUCGGAUUUACUGGGCGUACAGGGAGCGUAGGCGGUUGGGUAAGCCCUCCGUGAAAUCUCCGGGCCUAACCCUGGAAAGUGCGGAGGGGACUGCUCGGCUAGAGGAUGGGAGAGGAGCGCGGAAUUCCCGGUGUAGCGGUGAAAUGCGUAGAGAUCGGGAGGAAGGCCGGUGGCGAAGGCGGCGCUCUGGAACAUUUCUGACGCUGAGGCUCGAAAGCGUGGGGAGCAAACAGG